GCAGUCGUGGUUGAGUGGUUAAGACGAUGGCCUAGAAAUCCAUUGGGGUCUCCCCGCACAGGUUCGAAUCCUGUCGACUGCG
rnacentral:tRNA from 1 species